GCCCCCGUAGCUCAGGGGAGAGAGCGGUCGCCUUCUAAGCGAACGGUCGCAGGUUCGAAUCCUGCCGGGGGCGCCA
rnacentral:tRNA from 2 species